rnacentral:misc_RNA from 1 species
UUUGGCGACUGACUGCAGAGAGCAAAUGCAGAACCCCGUACGGCAGUCGGCCCCGCCGGUUGCCUACACGCUUUUGCUUGACUCAGCCGAACUCGAGACCUGUCCUCCUCUUCUUCGUGCCUCUUCAGGGCCGCCCCUAUAAAACUAAAGGCCUAAUCCAGACCCGAAGGGCCACGGUUGUAAAACAAUCCGGAAGGCCUAUAUACGAGCCCUCAAUCGCCCCCAUCGAGAUCUCAACUGCCCGAGAGAAACAAAAGUUAAAGAAGAAAAAAGAAGCGAAAGAAGAAGAAAAUCGACUGGAUACUCUUGGAGUGAAUUUUUCACAACGGUGUACGUCGGGAUUAUUGUUGCGCCGGGUCUAUCGAUGAUUACCAGAAGACCAGGAAGAAUCCGUAUAGAAACACAUGAGGCUUAUCCGGUACGGUACCUAGACAAAAUGAACCUGACGCGAUUAGCACUGUGCGCAGAGGUAUAGUAGGAUUAUUUAUACACCUAUAAAUAAUAUGCUCAUGUGAGAGAGUUCGAACUAGCGAACUAUCACCUUUGUAUGUACCUGCGGCCCUAAUUAUACCCACUGCUAGUAAACGUCGAGCAAUAUAUUUAGGUAUUUAUUUUUUUCAUGCAUACCCGUUGUCUGGCGAGACGCGACACUUUGAAUUUUUAGUGCGAUAGGUUUAAACUAGAGCUGCGAAAGCCUUAUACAUUUCUCGAUCGAAAUGGCACGCCGUGAUUCCUCCGUUACAUUAUACAUGGAGAAGCCAAAGCGUGUGCCAGACCAUAGCCGCGAUUUGCCUAUCGAUUUCAUCCUGCGAGUUAAAAGAGAAUUCUGCAUAAAAAAAAUAUUUUACAAAUGGAUACAUCGGUGUCCUUAAGGUGGAAAAAUAAUGAACCGUCUCGCAUCGGACAAAUUUUGAAGAAGAUUUAACCGGCCCUGAGCAUCCCUCUGUCCUCCUCUAACUCGCCUUCUCUAUUACCACAGUAUAUACAUGGAUAUGCGUGUGAUGUAUAUGCGUGUGUAAUGUAUAUGUACAUGUAUUCUUGAGAACUCCUCCUUUUUUUCAAUUUUUUUUCUUUUUCCUUGGGUCUCUUCAUACCGUAUACCAUACACACCGCGUUCGGAGACCACUCACUUUCGCCCUGAGGUUACCUACAGCCCGGGGAUCACGAGGAUCGACGAGAUCGCGAUGAUCGAGGACAGGCGGGAAAAUGCCAGCCGAAGAAAGGUGUAUUAUAGGUGUAGAUAUACCUACUUCACUGAAAGUAAUACAG